rnacentral:rRNA from 1 species
GUCUAUGGCCAUACCAUCUUGAACAUGCCUGCUCUCAUUUGGUAUCAGACGCUAAGCAGAGGCAGGUCCUGAAUGGGAGGAAGACAUUUUAACCAGGUUUUAGCUU